rnacentral:misc_RNA from 1 species
AAAGUCGUAACAAGGUUUCCGUAGGUGAACCUGCGGAAGGAUCAUUAAAGUAUCUCUGGCGGGGAGUGAGCCUCGCUCCGGUCCUAACCGGCCGUUGCAGCGGGCGAGCGACCCGUCCAAACCUUCACAAACCCUCUGUGCACUUCAACGGUGGAGGGAGCCCGUGCGAGAGCUCGGGCUUCUGAAGCCGCUACCCAACAAACCCCCAUCUUUAAAGAAUGUAUUGCGGCCAUCGCGUCGCCUAACAAACGAAACAACUUUCAACAACGGAUCUCUUGGCUCUC